AUGAACAAAGCUAGUGGAGGUGAUGGAAUUCCAGUUGAGCUAUUUCAAAUCCUGAAAGAUGAUGCUGUGAAAGUGCUGCACUCAAUAUGCCAGCAAAUUUGGAAAACUCAGCAGUGGCCACAGGACUGGAAAAGGUCAGUUUUCAUUCCAAUCCCAAAGAAAGGCAAUGCCAAAGAAUGCUCAAACUACUGCACAAUUGCACUCAUCUCACAUGCUAGUAAAGUAAUACUCAAAAUUCUCCAAGCCAGGCUUCCGCAAUACACGAACCAUGAACUCCCUGAUGUUCAAGCUGGUUUUAGAAAAGGCAGAGGAACCAGAGAUCAAAUUGCCAACAUCUGCUGGAUCAUGGAAAAAGCAAGAGAGUUCCAGAAAAACAUCUAUUUCUGCUUUAUUGACUAUGCCAAAGCCUUUGACUGUGUGGAUCACAAUAAACUAUGGAAAAGUCUGAGAGAGAUGGGAAUACCUGACCACCUAACCUGCCUCUUGAGAAAUCUGUAUGCAGGUCAGGAAGCAACAGUUAGAACUGGACAUGGAACAAAAGACUGGUUCCAAAUAGGAAAAGGAGUACGUCAAGGCUAUAUAUUGUCACCCUGCUUAUUUAACUUCUAUGCAGAGUACAUCAUGAGAAAUGCUGGACUGGAAGAAACACAAACUGGAAUCAAGAUUGCCAGGAGAAAUAUCAAUACACUCAGAUAUGCAGAUGACACCACCCUUAUGGCAGAAAGUGAAGAGGAGCUAAAGAGCCUCUUGAUGAAAGUGAAAGAGGAGAGCAAAAAAGUUGGCUUAAAGCUCAACAUUCAGAAAACGAAGAUCAUGGCAUCCGGUCCCAUCACUUCAUGGCAAAUAGAUGGGGAAACAGUGUCAGACUUUAUUUUGGGGGGCUCCAAAAUCACUGCAGAUGAUGACUGCAGCCAUGAAAUUAAAAGACACUUACUCCUUGGAAGAAAAGUUAUGACCAACCUAGAUAGUAUAUUCAAAAGCAGAGGUAUUACUUUGCCGACUAAGGUCCAUCUAGUCAAGGCUAUGGUUUUUCCUGUGGUCGUGUAUGGAUGUGAAAGACUGUGA
rnacentral:lncRNA from 1 species